rnacentral:tRNA from 1 species
GCGUCGGUGGCACAGUGGUUAGUACUCUCGCCUACUGUGCACAUGAUCAGGGGUUCGACCCCCUGCCGACGCA